GAUUUCUUAGUGUAGUGGUUAUCACGUCAGUCUUACACACUGAAGGUCCCGAGUUCAAUCCUCGGAGAAAUCA
rnacentral:tRNA from 2 species